rnacentral:rRNA from 1 species
GGGUUGUGAGGUUAAGCGACUAAGCGUACACGGUGGAUGCCCUGGCAGUCAGAGGCGAUGAAGGGCGUACUAAUCUGCGAUAAGCGCCGGUAAGGUGAUAUGAACCGUUAUAACCGGCGAUACCCGAAUGGGGAAACCCAGUGUGAUUCGUCACACUAUCAUUAACUGAAUCCAUAGGUUAAUGAGGCGAACCGGGGGAACUGAAACAUCUAAGUACCCCGAGGAAAAGAAAUCAACCGAGAUUCCCCCAGUAGCGGCGAGCGAACGGGGAGGAGCCCAGAGCCUGAAUCAGCAUGUGUGUUAGUGGAAGCGUCUGGAAAGGCGCGCGAUACAGGGUGACAGCCCCGUACACAAAAGCGCAUGUGCUGUGAGCUCGAUGAGUAGGGCGGGACACGUGGUAUCCUGUCUGAAUAUGGGGGGACCAUCCUCCAAGGCUAAAUACUCCUGACUGACCGAUAGUGAACCAGUACCGUGAGGGAAAGGCGAAAAGAACCCCGGCGAGGGGAGUGAAAAAGAACCUGAAACCGUGUACGUACAAGCAGUGGGAGCACAGGUUUACCUGUGUGACUGCGUACCUUUUGUAUAAUGGGUCAGCGACUUAUAUUCUGUAGCAAGGUUAACCGAAUAGGGGAGCCGGAGGGAAACCGAGUCUUAAUUGGGCGUUAAGUUGCAGGGUAUAGACCCGAAACCCGGUGAUCUAGCCAUGGGCAGGUUGAAGGUUGGGUAACACUAACUGGAGGACCGAACCGACUAAUGUUGAAAAAUUAGCGGAUGACCUGUGGCUGGGGGUGAAAGGCCAAUCAAACCGGGAGAUAGCUGGUUCUCCCCGAAAGCUAUUUAGGUAGCGCCUCGUGAAUUCAUCUCCGGGGGUAGAGCACUGUUUCGGCUAGGGGGCCAUCCCGGCUUACCAACCCGAUGCAAACUGCGAAUACCGGAGAAUGUUAUCACGGGAGACACACGGCGGGUGCUAACGUCCGUCGUGAAGAGGGAAACAACCCAGACCGCCAGCUAAGGUCCCAAAGUCAUGGUUAAGUGGGAAACGAUGUGGGAAGGCCCAGACAGCCAGGAUGUUGGCUUAGAAGCAGCCAUCAUUUAAAGAAAGCGUAAUAGCUCACUGGUCGAGUCGGCCUGCGCGGAAGAUGUAACGGGGCUAAACCAUGCACCGAAGCUGCGGCAGCGACACUGUGUGUUGUUGGGUAGGGGAGCGUUCUGUAAGCCUGCGAAGGUGGCCUGUGAGGGUUGCUGGAGGUAUCAGAAGUGCGAAUGCUGACAUAAGUAACGAUAAAGCGGGUGAAAAGCCCGCUCGCCGGAAGACCAAGGGUUCCUGUCCAACGUUAAUCGGGGCAGGGUGAGUCGACCCCUAAGGCGAGGCCGAAAGGCGUAGUCGAUGGGAAACGGGUUAAUAUUCCCGUACUUGGUGUUACUGCGAAGGGGGGACGGAGAAGGCUAUGUUGGCCGGGCGACGGUUGUCCCGGUUUAAGCGUGUAGGUGUGUGUUCCAGGUAAAUCCGGUUCACUUUAACACUGAGGCGUGACGACGAGGCACUACGGUGCUGAAGCAACAAAUGCCCUGCUUCCAGGAAAAGCCUCUAAGCAUCAGGUAACAUCAAAUCGUACCCCAAACCGACACAGGUGGUCAGGUAGAGAAUACCAAGGCGCUUGAGAGAACUCGGGUGAAGGAACUAGGCAAAAUGGUGCCGUAACUUCGGGAGAAGGCACGCUGACACGUAGGUGAAGUGAUUUACUCAUGGAGCUGAAGUCAGUCGAAGAUACCAGCUGGCUGCAACUGUUUAUUAAAAACACAGCACUGUGCAAACACGAAAGUGGACGUAUACGGUGUGACGCCUGCCCGGUGCCGGAAGGUUAAUUGAUGGGGUCAGCGCAAGCGAAGCUCCUGAUCGAAGCCCCGGUAAACGGCGGCCGUAACUAUAACGGUCCUAAGGUAGCGAAAUUCCUUGUCGGGUAAGUUCCGACCUGCACGAAUGGCGUAAUGAUGGCCAGGCUGUCUCCACCCGAGACUCAGUGAAAUUGAACUCGCUGUGAAGAUGCAGUGUACCCGCGGCAAGACGGAAAGACCCCGUGAACCUUUACUAUAGCUUGACACUGAACAUUGAGCCUUGAUGUGUAGGAUAGGUGGGAGGCUUUGAAGUGUGGACGCCAGUCUGCAUGGAGCCGACCUUGAAAUACCACCCUUUAAUGUUUGAUGUUCUAACGUGGACCCGUUACCCGGGUUGCGGACAGUGUCUGGUGGGUAGUUUGACUGGGGCGGUCUCCUCCUAAAGAGUAACGGAGGAGCACGAAGGUUGGCUAAUCCUGGUCGGACAUCAGGAGGUUAGUGCAAUGGCAUAAGCCAGCUUGACUGCGAGCGUGACGGCGCGAGCAGGUGCGAAAGCAGGUCAUAGUGAUCCGGUGGUUCUGAAUGGAAGGGCCAUCGCUCAACGGAUAAAAGGUACUCCGGGGAUAACAGGCUGAUACCGCCCAAGAGUUCAUAUCGACGGCGGUGUUUGGCACCUCGAUGUCGGCUCAUCACAUCCUGGGGCUGAAGUAGGUCCCAAGGGUAUGGCUGUUCGCCAUUUAAAGUGGUACGCGAGCUGGGUUUAGAACGUCGUGAGACAGUUCGGUCCCUAUCUGCCGUGGGCGCUGGAGAACUGAGGGGGGCUGCUCCUAGUACGAGAGGACCGGAGUGGACGCAUCACUGGUGUUCGGGUUGUCAUGCCAAUGGCACUGCCCGGUAGCUAAAUGCGGAAGAGAUAAGUGCUGAAAGCAUCUAAGCACGAAACUUGCCCCGAGAUGAGUUCUCCCUGAGACUUUAGAGUCUCCUGAAGGAACGUUGAAGACGACGACGUUGAUAGGCCGGGUGUGUAAGCGCAGCGAUGCGUUGAGCUAACCGGUACUAAUGAACCGUGAGGCUUAACCUUACAACGCCGAAG